GGUAAUGUCCUAUAAAAACUGUAUUUUGUCAUGUGUAAUUAGUGAAAUUGAACAAAACUUAGAAUAAUUGGAAUUGGGAGUUAUAGGUGUGGCCACCAAUUGGAAAGAAGAAGUUUGAGACUCUAUCUUACCUCCCUGACCUUACUGACGUCGAAUUGGCUAAGGAAGUUGACUACCUUCUCCGCAACAAGUGGAUUCCUUGUGUUGAAUUCGAGUUAGAGGUAAUAAACACUGGACCUUUCGUUUGUCUCUAAUCAUUAUAUAUUAUUUUCUUACAUAGCUAAAAACCAAAGUCAAUAAGCUUAUUUUCGUUUGUCUCUAAUCAUUGUUCAUUGAAUGGAUUUCGUAUUCAUUUAUAGCAUGGAUUUGUGUACCGUGAGCAUGGAAACACACCUGGAUACUACGAUGGACGGUACUGGACAAUGUGGAAGCUUCCAUUGUUCGGAUGCACCGACUCCGCUCAAGUGUUGAAGGAAGUGCAAGAGUGCAAGAAGGAGUACCCUAACGCCUUCAUUAGGAUCAUCGGAUUUGACAACAACCGUCAAGUCCAGUGCAUCAGUUUCAUUGCCUACAAGCCCCCAAGCUUCACUGAUUCUUAAUUAAAUCCUUUCUGGAAUAUUCAAUGUUGACUAUCCGGAACAAUUUUGUAUGGUCAAUGUAAAUUUAAGUAACUAUUAUCUAGCCAACUUAAACGUUGAGCAAUUGUUUUGCGAAAAGUGAAAAAGUUGAAGGUUUAUUUUCUAUCAUUUCCUCUAUAAUUAUAUCUAUUCAUAUCAUUUCAUUUUUGAUCUUAUCACUUUGAACUCUUUCAUCUUCGAUUUAGCUCUUUUAAGCAACAUUUUAUUUCCUUUACAUUUCCCUCCUAAUUUUUGCUUUUGAUUCUCUAGACUAACCUAUAAUAGAAGAGAGACCUUUUUAGAUACCUUUUUGGAAAAACUUUGCACAUGAAAUCAUAACAAAGAUGCCUCAAUAAAUCAAAUCUCGAAAGGGCCAGUACCUUGUGACUUAGAUGGAUGGGCUAGGACGAUCUCGCUUUCGAAAAAAAGAUUUAUUUGAUUUUGCUGUGGGUGGAGCAAUGUUGACUACCUCCGCACUAUUUUCUUGAACGGUUUUGGCUAUUUUGUACCUUGUACGCGCUUCUGCUCACGGGAAAUUUGUGAGCUUUAAGUUGGUAUUGUGGAUCCAUGACCAUAGCUUCUUCCUGUGGCCUUAGGGAGAGUUCUUGCCUCGGUUCCACACCGUCCAUUGAAGUGUGCUAUGAAAAUUCCCCACAAUCUGUCAUGUCUUCCAUGCUUAAGUUGACAUGGUGGAAAUCAUCUUGAGGUGCCACAUUUUAAGUGGGCCGUACGUGCAAUGGUGUGGUGCUCCGAAAGGAACGGUAGCAUGGGUUCCUAUAGCAUUGGAUCGUUUUCUAAACAAUAUGCAUUAUGUGUUUAUAAAUUUUAGUAAUUGUACAUACAUGUCCCAGUUUAAAAACAGAUUAACAUACAUUAUAAUUUUAAGGGCUGCCUAUAGCGUUACACCUAUACUAUAGCGUUUCAACUCCUAUCCACCUGUACUUUCGACCUCUGCCCAAUUCACCUUAUACUUGUUUUAAACUUCCUAAUUCCACCUAAACUAUUAAAUUCUCCAUAAUUAACCAAAAUCAAGAACUCUCUAUAAUUGCGAUUAAAAAUCGUUCAAAUCGCGUUUACUGUAGGCCAACCCGAGUCAGAUCCGACCAGCUUCGAAGACUUCUUUCACCAUAAGGGUUUGACUCGUGUUCAUUUGUUUUGUCGGGUCAACCUCGGAUUAAUAUAAACACAUAUUUUUUUACUGCAAUUUGAACUAUUUUUAAUCGUAAUUAUAGAGAGUUGGGCAGAUGUCGAAAGUACAUGUGGAUAGGAGUUGAAACGAUAUAUAUAGUAUAGUUGUAACGCUAUAGGCAGCCCUAAUUUUAAUAAGAAUGAUAUAAACUCAACUAAACUUCCUCUUCUUAGUUUGAAACUUUGCAUGACCAUUAACUCUCUUAUACUGCAUAAGACAUAAUUAGUGACAUAUUUUUUUCUUUCUAUUAUCAAUAUUUUCGUUAGCAUGUACUCGUUGUAAGAUGAAUAGAGAAAUAAUUGAAUUAUGAAAUAACGAAAUCAAUGUAUAUAUAUAUAAAACAAAAACAAUUUUACGCUGAACAAUUUUUUUUUAAAAAAAGGCAAAAAAAUUGCUUGUUUCAUAUUAUAGGAUGUUUUGGACCUUUUUUUUUGUUUCACAAUAUAUAAUGCUUUGAAGAAAAAAUACAAGUUUCUAUGUAAAACAUUAAAUUUAAUAGAUUAUUGACUAUUUACAUUAUGCAGUAAAUUAUAUCACUGAUUAAAUUAUUUUUAAUAGAUAUUAAUUUUUGUUUUAAUGUUAAAAACUCAAGAUUAGUUAAUUUCUUAAACUUUGUGCUUUCAUCUUUUUUUUUAUCUUUUUUUUUUGUCAUCCGAAAUUAAUUAUACCUCAAAAGAGAGAGUAUUAUUUGAAACAAAGAGAGUAUUAUUUAGCAGAUAAAUGACUUUUAUCUGAUUUAAUUAUAAUUUUAAAAUGUGCGGGAUGAAUUAAAAGAUCAUUUAUCAUUUUUCACGUUUUGUUUUUUUCCAGUUAGGUUUUUGUGAAUGGUUUUUACUCAGCGUAAUCAUGUUUUAAGAACAAGAACGUGAGAAAGUUAACAAAAUACCGUUGCAAGACUUUAUUUUUGUUUUACACAAAAUGUAGUUUUAUAUUUUCAAAGUAGUUUUUUUUAAUAGAAUUUACUUAUAUUCUUUUUAGUUAAGAUAAUCAAAUGGGAAAAUAAAAAUAUUAAUGUGUUAAUACAAGAUAAUAGAAAUUUAAUCAUUUUAAUAUAUAUGUAAAAAGUAUUCAACCGAUAUUUACAAUUAGACAGAACUAAGAAGUAUUAAAUUUCUCACCUCACCUCCCAAAAGAAAGGAGCCAAAAGCAACCGAUCAAGUGGAGACCAGUACUAGCCAUACACAUUCACUCGUUCCCUUACAAGAGAAAGAUAAGAUUAUGGAGUUUUCUGCCACUUGGUCUUAUCCUAGUGGUCCGAAUUGAUAAGGGUUUCAACACCUUUCCUUAAUCCUGUGGCAAUUAACGACGUUAUCAUGAAUUAUGGCCACUUUGAUCAUUAGGGCUUUUUGCCUUGCAGUUCUCACUAUAUAAAGAUGACCAAAUCAAUCGACAAACAAGUAAAAGAAACAACAAGAAGUAGUGAUGGCUUCAUCUAUGCUCUCCUCUGCCGCUAUGGUUACCUCCCCAGCUCAAGCCACCAUGGUCGCUCCAUUCACCGGCUUGAAGUCAUCCGCUGCUUUCCCGGUCACCCGCAAGGCCAACAACGACAUUACUUCUAUCUCAAGCAACGGCGGAAGAGUUAGCUGCAUGAAGGUAAUGUCCUAUAAAAACUGUAUUUUGUCAUGUGUAAUUAGUGAAAUUGAACAAAACUUAGAAUAAUUGGAAUUGGGAGUUAUAGGUGUGGCCACCAAUUGGAAAGAAGAAGUUUGAGACUCUAUCUUACCUCCCUGACCUUACUGACGUCGAAUUGGCUAAGGAAGUUGACUACCUUCUCCGCAACAAGUGGAUUCCUUGUGUUGAAUUCGAGUUAGAGGUACUAAACACCGAACUUUUCCUUUGUCUCUAAUCAUCCUUUAUUAUUUCUGUUCAUUGGUAGAAACAUAAGUCAAUAACCGGAUUUUAAAACCCGAAAUAGACUAUAACCGUGUGACUCCUCGACUAUCAAUGGUAUUGAAUGGUUUUGUCAUCUGUUUAUAGCACGGAUUUGUGUACCGUGAGCACGGAAACACUCCCGGAUACUACGAUGGACGGUACUGGACAAUGUGGAAGCUUCCAUUGUUCGGAUGCACCGAUUCUGCUCAAGUGUUGAAGGAAGUGCAAGAAUGCAAGAAGGAGUACCCUAAUGCCUUCAUUAGGAUCAUCGGAUUCGACAACAACCGUCAAGUCCAAUGCAUCAGUUUCAUUGCCUACAAGCCCCCAAGCUUCACCGAUGCUUAAUUCCCUUUCUGGAAUGUUCAACGUUGACUAGUAUUUCGGAAUCCAAUUCUAUGUGGUCAAUGCAAAUUUAAGAAAUUAAUUAGCCGACUUAAAAGUUGAGGAAUUAUUGUGUGAAAGUGAAAAAUUUGAAGGUUUUUUCUAUCAAUUUCCUUAUAAUUAUAUUUACUCAUUUGAUUUCAUUUUUUUUCUUCUAGCUCUUUGAGCUCUAUUUUUCGUUUAGCUCCUUUUGACAACAUUCCGGUUCAUUUAAAUUCUCCUCAUUAUUCUUGCUUUUGAGAAAUUGGCUACAUUGUUUCGAGAAAUUUUGCACAUGAAAGCAUAACAAAGAUGCCUCAAUUUAUCAAACCUCGAUGAUUUAGAACAAAAGAUUAUUUAAGGGGGUGUAACCUUUUAAGAUGAAAUAGCCAUUGGAGAUAGCAAAAGGUAGUAAAAGACGUAUACACUAUAAACAAAAUCCAAAUGUAUGCUUUUAAAAUUAUAAACAUGUAUUCCAAACGCCUAAGUGGAAUAUUCAGUUUAAUUCAAGUCCAAGAAAUGGCAUUAUAUAAAGCAAGGAUCGACAAAGACUGAAAUUUGUCUAGCAUGAAGUUACUAAAUUUUGGAAAUUGUGUUCACGUUAAAAGCUGAAACUUAACAGUUAUUUAUAAGGAAAAGCAGUUAAUGUUCCCAAAAAGUUCUAAAUGAAACUAGAAACCAAAUGAUAAAGAAAACGUAGCAUCUACAUGUUUGGUUUUAGUUUUUUUUUUUUUGACAAAAAUAUUCAAAUGUUUUUAGAUUCUUCUAUGCAAACGAUAUAUAGAAAAUAUAUACAUGAUUCAAAUAUAAUACAAAUAAAAAUAAUUAUUGAAAUUACCGAACAUUUUUUUGCAUCUCCCUGAUUUACUUCCCACAUUUUCGUUUCAAAUAAAAUUCAAGAAAAAGAAAGACGACGAAAAAAAAUGACUUAAAAAGACAAGGGACAGAAGCUGGUAACUUAGAUGGAUGGGUUAGGACUAUCUCACUUUCGAAAAAUGUUUAUUUGGUUGAGGUGCGGAGUGGAGUGGAGCUUGUGAUUCUUUGCCCUAUAUGAGAGUUUUUUCGUGACCAAUUAUGGUGAUUGUGUACUUUGUAUACAUGUUUCUUCUCAUAUGGUUGAAAUGGGGGCAUUUGUGAGCUUUAAGGUGGCAGUCUUGAUCCACGACCAUAGCUUUACAUGACUUUAAGGUGAGUUCUUGCCUUGGUUCUACACCGUUGAUUGAAAUGAAUUAUGAAAAUUCCUCAUGAUCCGCCAUUUUUACAUGCUAAGUUUUUUUUUUUUGAAAAAUGCAUGCUUAAGUUGAAACGGUGGUUAUCAACUUGAGGUGCCAUAUUUGUGAUUAAGUGGGCCGUAAGUGCAACGGCGUGGUACUCAAAGAGGAACGGUGGGGUGGGUUUCACAUCGUGAUUGUGAUGUGAGUAUGUAUGUGACCAGAGUCCAGGGCCGGCUCAAAAUUAUUCGAGACCUUGUGCUGAUGUAUAAAAAUUGGUUUUUAAAUAAUAUAGUGAAAAUUUUGGACCCUCAAUCUUAGAGGAAAUUGAAAUUUUUUUUUGAGGACCCUGUGCUUUUGCUCCUCUAGCACACCCUUAGAGCUGGCACUGCCAGAGUCACAAGAUAAUCGUGAGCUGGUCUUACUUGUUGAUCGAGAGGCAGCAUUAACUCAUAUAGAAGAAACCAUGGACCUCCGACCUUGGGAGGUUUUCUUGGAAAUUCUUCCAUGAUGGAAGCUUACCGCAUGAGCAUGAUACAGGUAGAUGCAUGAUGGUUUCGGUUGUUUGCUCGAUCGCUUUCUACCACAAACAUAUCUUGCAUCUAAUUGUUGUUGCCUUGUUGGUUCUCAAAUAUUUACUCUCGAAACAGUAAGAUGUUGUUAGCCAUACGUAAAUCAGAAAUAAAAGUAUAGUUGGCUAAAACUGCAGUGAGUAUAGAAUUAACCGAUAUCAAUUUAUUCAAAUUUCCGUCUCUCUUUUCUUUUGUUGGCUAAUAUAUUAUCAUUUGAAGAUAAUAUAUAGUUUUUCCAAGAAAAGAAUAUUGACAAUUUUUUUGUGGUAAGUGAUUUUAAGAAUGACUCCAGAAUCGACAGGUUACCCAGACAAUAUUUAUCAUGGAUAAACCUAUCGAAAAAUCUUAAAAAUCAGUAUUAAUAAAACGGAAGUAGUAAUGAACUUCUAAGCUAUGCAUUACAAUACAUUUAUCUCAAUGUCGAAUUUAAAUAAUUUUCUUAGAACUCCUUUUUUAAUGCGACCUUAUUCACCAAAUCAAGUGAAGCCAAAUUAAAUCAUGCAUGGUAAAUAAAAUAUCCAAAAGCAUUAAAUUUAAGGUAAUGCGUCUGAUUUCUUUCCUCCCAAACGAAAGGAGCCAAAAGCAACCGAUCAAGUGGAAACCAAUAACCACACAUUCACUUCGUUUCCCCCACAAGAGAAGAUAAGAUAAUGGAGUUUUCUGCCACGUGGCAUUAUCCUAGUGGUCCGUACCGAUAAGGGUGUCAACACCUUUCCUUAAUCCUGUGGCAGUAAACGACGUUAUCAUGAAUUAUGGACCCUUUGAUCAUGAGGGGCUUUUUUCCUGUUGCGGUUCUCACUAUAUAAAGAUGACAAAACCAGUAGACAAACAAGUAAGUAAGAGAAAAGAGCAAAAGAAGAAGAGAAACAACAAGAAGUAGUAAUGGCUUCCUCUAUGCUCUCCUCGGCCGCUGUGGUUACCUCCCCGGCUCAAGCCACCAUGGUCGCUCCAUUCUCCGGCUUGAAGUCAUCCGCUGCUUUCCCGGUCACCCGCAAGGCCAACAACGACAUUACUUCCAUCGCAAGCAACGGGGGAAGAGUUAGCUGCAUGAAGGUAAAGUAAAGUCAUUAAUGAAAGAUGUCUUUUGUCAUGGCAAUUAGUGUAAUUGAACAAAACAUAGAAUAAUUGGAAUUGGAUUCGGGAAUUAUAGGUAUGGCCACCAAUCGGAAAGAAGAAGUUUGAGACUUUAUCUUACCUCCCUGACCUUACUGACGUCGAAUUGGCUAAGGAAGUUGACUACCUUCUCCGCAACAAGUGGAUUCCUUGUGUUGAAUUCGAGUUAGAGGUAAUAAACACUGAACCUUUCCUUUGUCUCUAAUCAUUAUAUAUUAUUUUCUUACAUAGCUAAAAACCAAAGUCAAUAAGCUUAUUUUCUACACCAAAGUUGAGGCUAUCAUUGUCCAUCGAAUGGUUUUCUUAUGUGUUUAUAGCACGGAUUUGUGUACCGUGAACACGGAAACACUCCCGGAUACUACGAUGGACGGUACUGGACAAUGUGGAAGCUUCCAUUGUUCGGAUGCACCGACUCCGCUCAAGUGUUGAAGGAAGUGCAAGAAUGCAAGAAGGAGUACCCUAAUGC
rnacentral:lncRNA from 1 species